ACGGAAGGCAGCAGUGGGGAAUAUUGGGCAAUGGGCGAAAGCCUGACCCAGCAACGCCGCGUGAAGGAAGAAGGCCUUCGGGUUGUAAACUUCUUUUAUCAGGGACGAAGAACGUGACGGUACCUGAUGAAUAAGCCACGGCUAACUACGUGCCAGCAGCCGCGACAAUACGUAGGUGGCAAGCGUUAUCCGGAUUUACUGGGUGUAAAGGGCGCGUAGGCGGGGAUGCAAGUCAGGUGUGAAAUCUAUGGGCUUAACCCAUAAACUGCAUUUGAAACUGUAUCUCUUGAGUGUCGGAGAGGUAGAUGGAAUUCCUAGUGUAGCGGUGAAAUGCGUAGAUAUUAGGAGGAACACCAGUGGCGAAGGCGAUCUACUGGACGAUAACUGACGCUGAGGCGCGAAAGCGUGGGGAGCAAACAGGAUUAGAUACCCUGGUA
rnacentral:rRNA from 1 species